rnacentral:rRNA from 1 species
UGCCAGCAGCCGCGGUAAUACGGAGGGUGCAAGCGUUAAUCGGAAUUACUGGGCGUAAAGCGCGCGUAGGCGGUUUGGUCAGUUGGAUGUGAAAGCCCCGGGCUUAACCUGGGAACUGCAUUCAAUACUGCCAGACUCGAGUACGAGAGAGGGGGGUAGAAUUUCUAGUGUAGCGGUGAAAUGCGUAGAUAUGUGGAGGAACACCAGUGGCGAAGGCGGCUGCCUGGCCCAAUACUGACGCUGAGGUGCGAAAGCGUGGGGAGCGAACAGGAUUAGAUA